rnacentral:rRNA from 1 species
UGGGGGAAUAUUGCACAAUGGGCGCAAGCCUGAUGCAGCCAUGCCGCGUGUGUGAAGAAGGCCUUCGGGUUGUAAAGCACUUUCAGCGAGGAGGAAGGUGGUGAACUUAAUACGUUCGUCAAUUGACGUUACUCGCAGAAGAAGCACCGGCUAACUCCGUGCCAGCAGCCGCGGUAAUACGGAGGGUGCAAGCGUUAAUCGGAAUUACUGGGCGUAAAGCGCACGCAGGCGGUUUGUUAAGUCAGAUGUGAAAUCCCCGGGCUCAACCUGGGAACUGCAUUUGAAACUGGCAAGCUAGAGUCUCGUAGAGGGGGGUAGAAUUCCAGGUGUAGCGGUGAAAUGCGUAGAGAUCUGGAGGAAUACCGGUGGCGAAGGCGGCCCCCUGGACGAAGACUGACGCUCAGGCGCGAAAGCGUGGGGAGCAAACAGGAUUAGAUACCCCCGGUAGUCCACGCUGUAAACGAUGUCGAUUUGGAGGUUGUGCCCUUGAGGCGUGGCUUCCGGAGCUAACGCGUUAAA